rnacentral:rRNA from 1 species
GAUGAACGCUGACAGAAUGCUUAACACAUGCAAGUCAACUUGAAUUUGGGUUUUUAACUUAAGUUUGGGUGGCGGACGGGUGAGUAACGCGUAAAGAACUUGCCUCACAGCUAGGGACAACAUUUGGAAACGAAUGCUAAUACCUAAUAUUAUGAUAAUAGGGCAUCCUAUAAUUAUGAAAGCUAUAAGCGCUGUGAGAGAGCUUUGCGUCCCAUUAGCUAGUUGGAGAGGUAACGGCUCACCAAGGCGAUGAUGGGUAGCCGGCCUGAGAGGGUGAUCGGCCACAAGGGGACUGAGACACGGCCCUUACUCCUACGGGAGGCAGCAGUGGGGAAUAUUGGACAAUGGACCAAGAGUCUGAUCCAGCAAUUCUGUGUGCACGAUGAAGUUUUUCGGAAUGUAAAGUGCUUUCAGUUGGGAAGAAAGAAAUGACGGUACCAACAGAAGAAGUGACGGCUAAAUACGUGCCAGCAGCCGCGGUAAUACGUAUGUCACGAGCGUUAUCCGGAUUUAUUGGGCGUAAAGCGCGUCUAGGUGGUUAUGUAAGUCUGAUGUGAAAAUGCAGGGGCUCAACUCUGUAUUGCGUUUGGAAACUGUAUAACUAGAGUACUGGAGAGGUAAGCGGAACUACAAGUGUGGAGGUGAAAUUCGUAGAUAUUUGUAGGAAUGCCGAUGGGGAAGCCAGCUUUACUGGACAGAUACUGACGCUGAAGCGUGGAAAGUGGUGGGUAGCAAACAGGAUAGAUACCCUGGUAGUGCCAAGGGGCGAAGUCCCCAUUGGAUAGUAAGCUGAUGUAUGACCGGCCGAACUCCAAGGGGGCGCCCUGGCCAAACACAAUUAUACUAUUAUUGAGUGAUAAUUAAUACGUGUUUUUUCUCUUGCUUGUGUUUUUGCUGAGUAUGCUAGUCUGCCCCUAUCCCUCCUGACUCUGCUGGUGUCCUACUGUGUUGUUUGUAGCUUCUGUUUUCCUUCUGCCUGUGUCUAUGUGUUUUGUCACUAUGCUGUCUAUGCUGUUGUCUUUCUGCUUUGUUAGGUGUUGUUAGCUAUGCUGUGUGCUGCUGCCCCUAGCUCUUUGUGUUAGUUUUUCUUUUUUUUCUUGUUAUUGCUUAUUGUCCCCCUUGCUUGCCCCUAGUGCCUUGCCCUUGUACUUGUUCUUGUAUUGUUAUUGCCAACCCUUGAGCAUGCUUGCCUGUGUGCCCUAGCUUUCCAUGCCAUGCUAUCCAUAGA